rnacentral:rRNA from 1 species
CCUACGGGAGGCAGCAGUGGGGGAUAUUGCACAAUGGGGGGAACCCUGAUGCAGCGACGCCGCGUGGGUGAAGAAGCGCCUCGGCGCGUAAAGCCCUGUCAGCAGGGAAGAAAAUGACGGUACCUGAAGAAGAAGCCCCGGCUAACUACGUGCCAGCAGCCGCGGUACUACGUAGGGGGCAAGCGUUAUCCGGAUGUACUGGGUGUAAGGGGGGCGCAGCCGGCGAUGCAGGCCAUGAGUGAAAGCCCGGGUCCCAAGGCCGGGACUGCUCUUGGAACUGUGUGGCUGGAGUGCAGGUGGGGCAGGAGGAAUGCGUGGUGUAGCGGUGAAAUGCGUAGAUAUCAGGAGGAACACCGGUGGCGAAGGCGGCCUGCUGGUCUGCAACUGACGUUGAGGCCCGAAAGCGUGGGGAGCAAACAGGAUUAGAUACCCGGGUAGUC